rnacentral:tRNA from 1 species
GCGCGAUUAGCUCAGCGGCAGAGCACGCCCAUGCCGGGCGAGGGCGUGGGUUCGAAUCCCACAUCGUGCUCCA